rnacentral:sRNA from 1 species
UUCUACAUAUAACCUAGCAAAGGGGGCAAUCUACUAAACCAUAUGAAUCCCUAAUGAGAAACCCUAUUCCUAACAAGCAGACUACUCAGACAUAUUGGAUGAAGCAAACAACAUAUUCGAGUGUGAAAACAUAAACACAGUAAUAGAGGUAAGAGUUAGAAAAGAUCUCUUCACUGUAUUAAGAACUGGAAUGAAUCUCUCAAGAACAAAUGGAUGAAUAGCUUCUGUCUCUCAC